CCAACCUAUGGCUGGAAUGGAUUCAGUAUACAGCUAGAUCAGUAGCUAAAGAAGAAUGUUAUGGCUGCGCAACAGCCAAAACCUCAGUUGACAACCAUCCCCUUUCCACUCGAUGGAAUUGAUUUACCAAGGGGAAUGGCCUGUAUGGUAAAGCUGGUCAUGAAGGCAGGGAAGCCAGACAGGGAAAGCCAGACAAUAACAGUUGUACUGAUCUGCAUUAUCUGUAUCCUAUGUGCCCAUUAGAUCCAGACUUCCCCCUUUCACAGUCGCAGGAGGAGACUAUUAUUGUAUGGCUUGACACAAUAUACACGGACGGGAUGUAGGGGAAGUGAGAACACGCAAAAGAACAGAGAGGGAGAAGGAGUGUUCCGUCUGGGUCCUUAGACGAUAGAGCUUACAUUGAUAGCAUUGGGGUUCCAAGGGGGGUGCCUAAUGAGUUUAAAGCUAGGAAUCAGAUAUUGGCUGGAUUAGAAUCAAGCAUCUUCUGGUGGUCAACCCUCAAUAGAAAUGUAGAUUGGAUAAAUUAUAUUUAUUAUAACCAACAGCAGUUCAUCAACUAUACUAGAGAUGCAAUAAAAGGAUUAGCAGAACAGACAGAGGCAACUAGUUUGAUGGCUUGGCAGAAUAGAAUAGCAUUGGAUAUGUUACUGGUGGAGAAGGGUGGUGUGUGUGUGUGAUAUUCGGAUCAAUGUGCUGUACUUUCAUCCCAAAUAACACAGCUCCAGAUGGAUCAGUGGCCAAGGCCCUGGCAGGUUUAACCACAUUGGCUAACGAGUUAGUAGAGAACUCUGGGGUGGAUACCUCACUGACUGGGUGAUGCGAUGGUAUGUUUGGAAAAAUUGAAAAAUGUUAUAAUCACUGUGUUGUGGGCUUCUUUCACCGGUAUGAGUGUGUUGAUAUUGUGUGAUUGAUGAAUAUAUGCCAAGUAUGAAAGUUUUAAUCACCAGAAUUCUGGAGAGAUUGAUAACGGAGCAGAUGGUGAGGUACGGAUCGAGUCCAAGUUCAGACCUGUGGGACGGCUGCCUGUAUAAUCCCUUGCUUAAGAAAGUCUCUUACAGAUGUUGUCAGAGCUGCAGGACCAGUAUGAGGCUACGGGUGCGGACAGGAUAAAGUAAUGGGCGUGCGUCUUUUGUGUUUUCUAUGUUCAUCUCAAACGUUCCCUCUGCUGUGUCUCACACAGAUAUGUCAGGAGCAUGAGGACGCAGACACCCCGUUAUCCUGGGAGUGCGAUGGCCGCCUUGAUCGACUACAUUCAGCGCAGAGACUAGGAGGGGGUAGCUGCUGUGUCCAGGCCCGCCGCAGCCAGCACCACCCCCGCCAGCACCACCCGGCCCAAGAGCUUCUUGGUCCUGCGAUCUCUGCAUUCCUUUCAAGGCGCUCUCUCGCCCAGGUGAACUGCAGGCGAAGAUGAAGAAAUAGGGGUGUCUUUCCCUCGACCAGCACUGCCACCAACAGAUCAAUCGGACGCAGAGCUGGUCAAAGCUGCUGCUGACAUAGACACAUUGUCUGGUGAAUGGAAAGAGUGGACAGAUCGAGAGCGUGGAUCUGCCGAACAUCAGAAGUCAUUCACAGAACCACAGAACUACUUCAUUUCUAUACUUAAUUAGAAUUCCAGGGGAACUCAUUGGGGUCGACUACCUCUUCUCCCAGACCCAUGGUGACCAGAGGCUGGAGUCCAACCUCGGUAAGGACCCGGAUGUCCCAGACGGGACACCUGAUGUAUUUGAGGGAGGAGAGGGAGAGGAGGAGGACCUGAGCGAGCUUGAGGAGGAGGAGGAUGACCCCACCAUGUCCUUGCCCGCCCUCGAUGACAGUCUCCCAGCAGUACCUCCACUCAGGAAGGCCACUCCACCGCUCACUAAGCCCACUCAACCCAACUCAUCCCAGGUACCUGUCGUCACACCCCCUGAUGACACUAUGGAGGUGGACACUACACCAGCUGCCAGUCAGGACCUGGAGGAUGACGAGUACAUAGGACCUGAUGGGGUUAGUGGAUACCAGCACGCGGUCCUCCUUGCCAAGAGUCUGGUGAGGCUCCUGGAGGGGCCAUGGAUCUCUAAUAGGCAAAUAGAGGAGAUCAUGGCUCUCUGGGGAAAUCUCCCGGAAAGAGACAAGGCGGCUGUCUCCUACCCAGAGAGGUUCCGGGACCGAGUCCUGCAGGGGCGCUUUAAAAAUUCCAAGAACUCCACUGUGAAGGGGGAAGAGAGUAUGAAGCGGAGUUGGUCCUCAAGGCCACACCCAAGGCAGUAAAAGUGACAGCUGACGGCCCCCCUGCUUUUGGUGCUCAGGGCCCUCUUGUGAGGGCUAAGAAGUGGAAGGAAGUGGAGGCAGAGGCUCGAGCCUGCGUCGUCUCCGAGGGAGGUGACCCCGGUGCAGAGACGGUCAUCCUGAGCCGGUGCACGGUUCAGUUCGGCAAGUACUGGGGUCAGACCUUCAAGUGGAUGAUGGAGAACGACGUGGGCUACAUGGUGCACGUUGUGACGUUGCAUCAGAAGGAGAGGGAGCGAGAGCGCAGCGUUUCCCAGCAUCCCCUGAUGGCCAACAAGGACGCCUUGACUCGCUACUCGUGCGCCUAUCCGGCGUUCGUCGAGAUGGUCAGGUUCAACCGGACGCACGAGGAAGCUAAAGUCCUGUCCUCCCAGCCAGGCCAGGAGGGCAAGGCCCUUGUUGGAUAUGUCAGGAGCAUGAGGACGCAGACACCCCGUUAUCCUGGGAGUGCGAUGGCCGCCUUGAUUAGCCACAUCCAACGCAGAGACCAGGAGGGGGUAGCUGCUGUGGCCAGGCCCGCCGCAGCCAGCACCACCCCCGCCAGCACCACCCGGCCCAAGAGUGCGGCUACGCAUCUUGGUCCUGCGAUCUCUGCGUUCCUUUCAAGGCGCUCUCUCGCCCAGGUGAACUGCAGGCGAAGAUGAAGAAUCUUAUUGCUUCUCAGCCUGCAGUUCAA
rnacentral:lncRNA from 1 species